rnacentral:rRNA from 1 species
ACUCAAAUGAAUUGACGGGACCCCGCACAAGCGGUGGAGCAUGUGGAUUAAUUCGAUACAAACCGAAGAACCUUACCCAGGUUUGACAUCUAGGGCAAGCCUGUGAAAGCGGGGCCCCAUCCCACAAGGAUGGCCCGAAGACACCUGUUGCAUGGCUGUCGUCAGCUCGUGCCGUGAGGUGUACGGUUAAGUCCGCCAACGAGCGCAACCCUCAUCUCGUGUUGCCAUCAGGUAACGCUGGGAACUCACGAGAAACUGCCGGCGUAAGUCGGAGGAAGGUGAGGAUGAUGUCAAGUCAGCAUGGCGGUCACGCCUGGGGCUUCACACAUGCUACAAUGGGCGCAACAAAGGGCAGCAAUAUCGCAAGAUGGAGCUAAUCCCAAAAAUACGCCCUCAGUUCAGAUUACAGUCUGCAACUCGACUGUAUGAAGUCGGAAUCGCUAGUAACCGCAGGUCAGCUAUACUGCGGUGAAUACGUUCCCGGGGUUUGUACACACCGCCCGU